GGGCAUUUGGUCUAGUGGUAUGAUUCUCGCUUAGGGUGCGAGAAGUCCUGAGUUCAAUUUUCGGAAUGCCCC
rfam:Dichanthelium oligosanthes cultivar Kellogg 1175 unplaced genomic scaffold Do_version_2_scaffold8669, whole genome shotgun sequence.